AUUUUUGUCCCCUGUUAGCGACAUAGCGUGAGGGAGGGAGUUGUUCUCUCAUUUUUGUUGCUGCACUUGAUCGUUCUAAAUACAAAGAAUCACCCUCAAUUUAAAUAGUAGUGUGGGUGUGAGUGUGUUUUGUGUGCAUCUGGAAUGAGAGUCGGAGAAAAUUCGAGAAAGGUAACAAUUGGACAAGGAGAUAUAAGUUGAGUUCUUUCAAUCAUCGAAGGUUAUCCUCUUGUGAUCCUGAUUCUUGGAUCUAGAAAUAAGAGUAAAGGAAGAGAGAGAAAUGAAGAAGCACCGGCUCUCGCUGAUGGACCCGUUGGGAUUUCACCAGAAGACAUCUAGGAGGGAUUUUGAUAUGUGGAGUUAAGCCGACAGUGAAUUACAAGCUCCGAUGAGAAACUUAUUGUUCAAUUCAUUUCGAUGGGACUGCUGAUCGUUUCUUUGGCUAUUCCUGGAAGCAGAGCUGUCCUGUCCAAGUAUACUUUCCGAUGAACAAGAUGUAAGGCAGAGCUAUCGAUUGCAGUCUCCAGUGAGCUUAUCACGACAAGGAUUAGAGAGAUGAAGCAGCGGAGAAAAGAAAAGGGGUAGCUAUGAAAUUCAUGUCCAACUUAAACUGUGUUUGAAGUUUUGGGUGAUUGUUGGGGCUAGUUGGCAUCGACAGAGAAAAGGGCAUCGCUGGAAACGAAAGCUUCGCCAUAGGGCAAGACGUCAUCGAUCGAUUGUCUGGUGUGGGAGGUCUCAUUGCGUGUCUUACAGGAAGAAGGUGACCAUAGAGCUGGAAACCCAUCUUAGCCACUUCAAUGGUUUAUUAUGCAGUUCAAUAUUUCAGGGCCAGAUGCCAGGCGGGGCCUCAUGAAUGUGAUGUGGUGGGGCCCAUCUCAUAUUACUAAGAGAUCUGUUUCGAGCGGGGGUCGAUGCCAGGUACUUCUGGAUCCAAGGGGAAAAUCUCGGGAUGAUCGCAUUGCACAUACCACGUUGUUCCGCAUUUUACUUUACUUUGAUGUAAAUUAGAUGUUUUGAUCAUACUUGAUUCUAUUAUUGUUAUAUGAACAUGUUUUGAGAGAUAGUUUUAAUCAUUUUAAAAAUUGAAAA